UACGAAGGGGGCUAGCGUUGCUCGGAGUUACUGGGCGUAAAGGGUGCGUAGGCGGUUGUUUAAGUUUGGUGUGAAAGCUCCCGGCUCAACUGGGAGGGUGCGCCGAAUACUGAAUGACUAGAGUGCGGGAGAGGAUAGUGGAAUUCCGAGUGUAGAGGUGAAAUUCGUAGAUAUUCGGAAGAACACCAGUGGCGAAGGCGACUGACUGGACAAGUAUUGACGCUGAGGUGCGAAAGCGUGGGGAGCAAACAGG
rnacentral:rRNA from 1 species